CCAGGCUCCCUCCCAGCGCGCCGGCCCGGGUGUGGGGGGCAGCGGGCCGGAGGGGCGCGGGCGGACGAGGGGCGCGCGCUGCGAUCGGCGCCGGAGACCGGACCCUCGGCCGCGAGGGUACGAGUUGAAUGGGAAACAGAAUAUCUGUUUUAUAAAUAAUCGUGGAAGAUAAAAGUAAACAAGACAUAGUCCAUACAGAAGACAAGAUGGAAAGGAAACAACGAGGAAUUAUUGAAAAAAAGAAAGUAUAAAGUCCAAUUAUGUGAGGUGUUUACCAGGUAAAAUAUUGCAGUACCUGUAAGAGGAAAGGAUGCAAAUUGGUAUUUAUACAUUUGGAAGAACAGUCACCUUUGAUGUGCCUAUUUGGUUUUCAGGAUGUUGCUGGCCUCUGCUCUUCUAAGACUUCAGCUGCAGAGCCCACUUGUGAACCCUCCUAGGGCUCUGGAGAAGAUGUAAUGGGAGAUUGAGUGUGGAAACUCUUUGGAAACCAUGAAGCACUCCGUAAAAGGUCUUGCUGUAACAAAAGUAAUCCCCAUCACCUGAAAGUGGAUUUCGUCAGAUGAAAAACGUAAAAAGUAGAUUGAUGUAAAAGCCCAGAUGAUGCUUUGCUGCUGGUCUCUGAGUAGCAAGAGUCAGGGCCCUUUCUGGGGUAUCUCUUCUUCCCUUGGCACAGAAAGCAUCAGGAAAAUGGUUACUGGCCAGAGGCUUAAAGACACAUGGGAAAUGCACGGUACCUCUGUAAGACCAGAAAUAAAACAGACAAGUUAAACAAAGGAGAGACACAUGAAUCAAAAUACGACAUUAUUACACACACUGAGUUGGAGUGAAAGAUGGACCAUCCAGGCAUUCACUGGAUAUUAGUGAAGCUGUUUUUGAAGUUUAAUUUGAAGCCCCAAAUAAGAGUCAUCGUACCUAGCUACAGCCUUUCACUAGAAAGAAAAAAUUCAACAUUUUCUAUUAAGGAGGAACUAAAACUCAGAGGUACUGAGUUGUAAAGUGCCAGUUUACACAAAUCUCUUCCCUCCUCCAAAAGUUUCUAAUGAUUAUGGUUUCUGGAAAAUAAGGUAUCAUGUUUUCAAUGCACACUCAGUCUACAAAAAAGCCCUUCAAAAACUUUAAGCUAGAAAGACAGGUAAUUUUCCAGUAUCAUAGAGAUAAUUCACGCCAGUCACAAGAUGUACAUUUUUAGAAUUUGGAGCAUUACAAGGAGAGUAAAGCGUUUUGCAUGCAUAUGUUCAUGUGCAUACCCCCACAUCAUUAAAAUCUUCCAAGGUGUGACAUGCAUUUACAGAGUCACUCCCCUAGCAUUUCAACUGUGAGGCGUUUUUCUAGAAGAUUCGCUCAGUUGGCCGAUAGGCACUUUGGCAAUCUCAUACGUGACUUACAAACAUUGUGAUGUACUUGCCAGAAGUAAACCCGACUUUGCUAAUCACUUAUCAGUUCUUUUACCCACUAUGGCUUUGUUUGAGAAGCAAUGUUGCUUGUCUUACCAAUAUAUAUUAUCCAGUUUGUAGAAAGUAUAAAUUAAUAUUGCAAACAGCAACAGGAUAUCCUGGGUGCAAAUUCCUGCGUCCUGGUGGGCACAGUGCUAUUUAGAACUAAUAGCUCUUUCUUGCACUAUUGCCACUGCCAAACAGACUGCUUAUGUGAUCUUUGGCUUUCUUCAUGUCUCUUGGGGGAUCAAUAGAAUGUUUCUAUUUUCCUAGAUGCCAACUUUGUCUCCUUUAUACUUUAAAAAUUCAGUAUUAGUUUAAGAAUACUUCAAGAAUAUAGUAUUAGUUUAAAGGACUUUUCAAUUUAAAGCAAACUUGUAGAGAUUUAGUCACCCACGAUUGACUGAUGUUAGGUGAGUAGAAAAAAAAAUGUAGGUUGAUUUCAUACUCUGCCUUUCAGAUCUUUGAAGGGGAAAUUAAGUUUUUGAAAACUGUUCAAAUUUUUUAAAGUAACUUAAGCUACAUUGCUCUUCUGUUUUUAGCUAUAGAAAUGGGGAAGUGUAUAUAUCAGCUAUUUUUUCUUUAAGGACUUAUGUGAAUUUUUCUCUUAGCGUAAACAUUAAUAAUUGGAAAUUAUUGAAUUGUCAUCUUAAUGUUGCACAUGAAAUAAAUCUGAUAUGUGUAUUAGCAACAAAGGCUUAUGUCCCAAACAGGAAAGAAUAAUUCAUGAAACCAAAUUUGAAGUUCAAGCAGAACUGUGACAUUAACAAAUUUGUAUUUCCCUUUUUCUUGGCCCUGUUGGUCUUUGUGCAGUGUAUAAAUAACUACAAAUAAAGAACUAAUGAUCACAUUUCUACUGGGAAAUUUAUUUUAAAUGUGACAACUAUUUCUCAACUGUUUGUGUACAUACAACUGCUGGCUGAUCCAGUUUCUUUUUUAUAAGAAAACCUGGUGAAUCUGAAAUAAAAAUGCAACAUAUUAUCUUUCAUGUAAAUAUACUAGUAAUACUUAAAAACGUAAUUGUCCUUGACAAGAGAUUUACAAAUAGGAGCCUAAUUAAUAAAUUUCAUUUUUGUUCUUCCUGCUGUUGCCAUGCUCCCUUGAACUUCUUUCCUUCAGAUGACCUUGUAUUUUCUUUGCAACUCACACUCAAUAAUGCGUGUUGUUAUGCAUUUUUUAAUAGCAGGAAGCAAACUAUUAAAAAAUUAAUCAAAGUUGCGGGAAAAAGUCACUCCCAUACUAGAAAAAAGAAAAUGUAGCUUUAUUUCAUCAUCUUUUUGGAGGCUCAAGAAGGGAGCAAGUUUCCUUUAAAAAUAUGAGAUGAUAUAUUAUUUGAUAGUUGCCUUAACUACUGCUGAUUGAGAUAGUAAAUUGGCACAACAGGUGGGUAAUGGUCUUCAAAACAACAAAAAAAACCCCAAACCUUAAACUGUGUAUAUCCGUUCACACAGAGAAACUCACUUUUAGAAAUUUGUGCUAAGGAAAUAUGGAUGUGUUCACAGUUAAGUAUAAGAAUGUUCGUUGCAGCAUAUAUUGGGGGAAAAUUGGAAGCGCCUUAUGUCGAAGUAUAGAGACUAGUUUAAUAAAUUAUAAUACAUCCAGUCUAUAAAAUUCCAUUCACUAUCACAAGGGAAAUGGUGUAGAAAGUAUUUAAUGAUGUGAGAAAUGGAAACAUUAAGUGAAAAAAGUAAGUUACAAAGUAAUUUUUGUAAAAUGAUCACACACACCAUAUAUAUAUACACAUAUGGCAUGUUAUAAAAUGUUAAUGGGUCAAUUAUAACA